UGGGUAGUUUAACCUUUCGAGGAGGACGCUCACCACUUUGUGGUUCAUGACUGGGGUGAAGUCGUAACAAGGUAGCGCUAGGGGAACCU
rnacentral:rRNA from 1 species